CUCAUACAUAAGAACGUAGUCUAAUAUAAAUGCAUUAUGAUGCUGGAUUCACACCAAGUUCUGCUGUUUAUCUCCCUUCCCUGCUUUUGGAGUUAUAAUGUCAAACCCCUUUCUGACUCAUAAGAAGGUACUGAAAGCAUUCGUAUGCUAAGUACAUGCAGAUUUCUGUUAUUUGGUUUAUUGAGUGCUUUACUUACAUGCCAUUAACUGUUGCAUUGUAUGAUGGUAGUCUAAAAUACAUGCAGUAGGAUGCUAGGUUCUUAUUUCCCUAUUUCCGUGUUACUUUCCUUUCUAAAAGCGUAAGAAGGUCCCUAUUAGUUCUGAAACCGACAACCAUUAGAAUAUCAAUCUCAAUGACAACCAUUAGAAUGUCCAUUUCUGGUCUGCCUGUUCUUUUUACUGCAUUUUGUUGAUAAUGGCUCCUACUUCCAUCCCAUUAACUGUUGCAUUAACAUCAUGGAUCAAACGGAUGCUGCAGGGCCUGUAAUUAAUGUCGGAGGCGUCUCUUGGGGCUACCUUGUAAUGGUGGUUGUGUUGGGUCACUACCAGUUAGUAUAAUGCCGUUAAUUGCUCCCAGAAUAAGAUCCUUUAACAUUUUAAAAACAUAAUGGCUGCAUUUUCACAGGCAAGCCUGGUCAAUAGACCAAUUAUUUAAAAAAUUAUCAGAAUUGGGCUGCCUGUGUAAACGCAGCCAUAGUAACUUCAGUGAACUCCUAAGGCUGGCCAUGUUGUGCUGUUGUAACAUAUAAAUAUACAUAUAAAUAUAUGCUUGUUUUUGUGUCAUUUAAUAUACAUUUGCCAUUCCAAACACACAACACUUGAAGUCUAAACUAAGUUUAGAGAACUAAGAUUAUCUCCUGAUGUCAAACUAAUGCAGUGUUAGCAAAGACUCAAUUAUGUUCUUUCAAUUUUUUUGUUUCUCACUUUUUCAGACGAAUGCACAGUGACGAGGUCGUACCUUUUCCUCCACAAGUUCUGGUUCUUCAGUACCAUCUACUACUUUGGUAACUGGGUGUUUAUCGGGGUUUUCCUCAUCGGCCUGUUGGUGUCAUGUUGUAAGGGAAGGAAAUCAGUGAUCGAAGGAGAGGUGGAGGCAGAUGACUCUGACAUGAGUGAAGACGAAUACAUUCACUGACAAGACCACAGCCUGCCAGACCUGGGUUCAAAUACUAUUUGAAAUGUUUUAAAUACUUUUGAGCAUUUGCUUUAGCCUGCCUGGGAGUGCCGGGUGGGCGGGGUUUGCAUGUUCUGGACUUUUCUAUGGGUUCACCUGCAAAAGGCAAGCUUAAUCAAAUACAAUUGAAAUAUUUUAAAACAUUUUAAACAGUGUGCCCUAAUGAAUAUGACCCAGGUCUGCUACCUGCAUAGACCAGGAGACAUUUAAACCGGAUUGGUUUCUGUUACAGCUGGUUUGCUAUAACAUAAGAAUAUGACAUUUGGAUUGUUCAUACAAGGCAGUAAAACUUUAAUUUGAACUGUUGUUUUCUGGUUUCUGCCUGAGAUUGGUUAAUAUUCCACAACGUUGUGUUGAUACUGAUGUAUUAUAAUGGGAGAGGGUGUUGGGAGGUAGCUUUUUUCUAUUAGGGCAACUUUUUGUUUUUUGUUCAGUCAAGUGUCUUUGUUCAAAGCAGUAUGUAAACCCUGAAUGUAUCCCAAAUGGCACCCUAUUUCAAAUAUAGUGCACUUCUUUUGACCAAAGCCCUAUUGGACCCUGGUCAAAAGUAGUGCACUAAAUAGGGAAUAGUGUUCCAUUUGAGAUGCAACCCUGUUUGUGUUACUAUGGGUAUGUGCCUGUUGUUUCAAAUGUCAUCUCCACCAAUUCCAUAUCUUUAUGUUUUUCCAAAAAGAAAGAUUUAGUGUUGCAAAAUUCUGGUAUAUUUUCCAAAAUGAAAUGAUUCUGAAUUUCCUGCUUAUUUCCCUCACUAUUCUGGGAAUCUUCAAAUGGGGAUGAAAAAGACAGAAAAACCAUGUGAUUUGUGGAAAGAUCCCAACAUUUUCCAACCCUAAGAAAGAUCCCUGGUUGAGAACCAAACGGUGAGUUAUUCAACAAGCCUGUGGUACUGGAUGUUUUGGAUCCUGAAAAGACAAGAUGUUGUUGGGGAAACAUAGUCCAGGAUUACUUUGUUUCUUAUUUAUUUGAACUCAGCACAUUUUUGUUGACAUGUACAUUUCUGUAAUAUAUGGCUGGAUAAAUGUUUAUUUUAGCCUUUAACAGAUUUAUUAUUUUUAAGAUUACUAACUUAGCACAUUCAGCAUGUUAACUUACAGCAACAAAUAUGGACAUGUAUUUGAUACCAUAUUGAUAAUGCACAUUGCUGAGUUAAAAUAUAUAUUCUCUUAUCCCUGAUUUUGGUGGUGUUUGUUUGGGCUUAACUUGACUAACUGUUGUUGCGUUGAUGUAUUGAUUUUCUGUAAAGUUAUCUUAACAUGAACUGAGCAUAAUAUCACUUGACUACUGAUCACGAUGUCAAUUUACUUUAUGAAUUUGGAAUAAAUUAUGAAUUCUGAAUUGA